rnacentral:lncRNA from 1 species
CUCAUUUUAAUUACUUCAGAUUAGCUCCUUGGAAUCCACCCCACCACACAGAUCAGCCUGCUUUGCAGCAAGUGUAUAUCAGUCUUUCAGUGAGGUCUUCUAUGCCACAGCAGCAGCAGCGCGUUCUGUGUGUUUGCUUUCACCUCGCUCAGCCACGCGGUGGGGGCUAUAGAGCCCAGGCAUGCGGCUGGAAGUUGGGAGGAGAACCCCUUGGCAGCUGUGCCUGACCAGCCACCAGAGUGCCCAUCCACUGCGUUCACAAGAAUAGGGAAACAGCAACAGGAUAAGAAGUCAUGUCUUUGGAAGGCUUCACAGAUUCUCUUCACCCCAAGAAGUUCCAAGUAUGCAGCUGCUUGCGCCACUGCUUGAAACCAGGCCAGGAAAUGUUCCAGCCGCCAAAGAGAGGCAGGGAGGGGGCUUCCAUCAGAAGAACUUGACGCCUCGGCCAUCAUCCAGUGUGAUGAUUUCAGCCUUGUGCUCUUGCUGCAAGGCUUGCAGGGCACGAAGUAGCAUAGCCUCAUCCAAACCAUGGAACUCUUCAUUUGCUGUAUCAUCUCCGCUGAUCAACUCAUACAGUGUGAACACAGAGUUGGUCAAGCCAUUCUUUGACACCCACUGAUAGAUGAGCUUUCCCCAUUCCUCGGGUCUUCUCCACAUUAUCAGAAAACUGGUUUUGUUCUUGUCUAACCACUCCAGGUUCCCGUUCUUGCGCAGCUCCUCCAGCACCACCUGGAUGGCCUCGGGCGGCAGCUUCCUCUGGAGACGGCGGUUGGCGAACAGCGGGCUGUCUUGGGCCUCGCGCAGCGUCAUGGCAGGCAGACGCUGGCGUCGGCUGUAGGCGAGCGCCAGGGCGCACCAGGCCGCCAGCUGCUUCUGCCGCGUCUCGCCGUUGGGCUGCAGCGUGAAGAAGGGCGGGAAGCUGUACUGCCAGGGCCACGAGAAGCUCAUCGCCGCCGACACCGGAACCACCUCCGCC